AAAAAAUGAGCCCAUCAAGAUAGUUCAAAUAUUUUUAAAAAUAAAUAAUUAAUUAAAAUCUUGUUUUAUUUUUCUAAUUUUUUCAAUUUCAAAUCGGAUUAUCGGAUCGGAUAUCCGAUAACAUAGCUAAUCGGAUUUGAAUUUAACAUUCAAAUAUUCGUUGGAUUAUUGGAUCGAUCGGAGCGGAUAAUUAUUCUUAACGGAUUUGAUCGGAUUUGAGCAGGUUCGAUCCGUUGGCAGUCCUAAUAGUUCAUCAAAUAUCCAUCAAAAUAAUUAUCCAAUAACAAUUACAUAUCUAAUAUAGCUAAUCGGAUUUGGAUUUAACAUUCAAGUAUCCAUCGGAUUAUUGGAUCGGAUCGGAGCGAAUAAUUAUUGUUAACUGAUCGGAUCAGAUUUGAGCAGGUCCGAUCCGUUGGCAGUCCUAAUAGUUCAUCAAAUAUCCAUCAAAAUAAUUAUCCAAUAACAAUUACAUAUCUAACAUAGCUAAUCGGAUUUGGAUUUAACAUUCAAGUAUCUGUCGGAUUAUUGGAUCGGAUCGGAGCGGAUAAUUAUUCUUUAUGGAUCGGAUCGGAUUUGAGCAGGUCCGAUCCGUUGGCAGUCCUAAUAGUUCAUCAAAUAUCCAUCAAAAUAAUUAUCCAAUAACAAUUACAUAUCUAACUACAAAGUUACAAUACUAAGGCAAAAAACGAUUGGCACUUGGCACAAACAAAAAUCUGUUGGCAGAAACUGUUGGAGGUUGCAAAAGAUGAAGAACUAAAUUAGAUUCGAAAUAUAACCCAUCAAGAGAAGGAAAACUACAUUGUAAACAGCCAUAUAUGCUUCAGCAAUCUGGUUUUAUCCAAUUGCUUAGUGAUAUCCCUUAGGUCAUUCAAAGAAUCCACACUUUGGCAGAGAAGUUGGCAAGCAUGAAACUGAAAUCAAAAUGCUCACCUCAGUAAUUUGAUUCCUAUAACCCAUAUUCUCUGUACCAACUAACCAUUAAAUAGCACACUGAACCCUAUUAAGACAGUAAUUUGAUUCCUAUAACCCAUAACUCCAUUAAUUCCUCACUGAUUUUUUAUAAAAAACCAAAAUAAUUGAAAUGCAAGUCAAUUCAUUUAUGGAACCAACAACAGAAAUUAUAUUCAGUAAGCACUAAAAGUAACAAAUCAAACAAAAAAAUGAAGAAAAAGGUAAAUAUUCUUGAUGGAUCAAGAUUUCAAGAAACUGAUUCAAAAGAACUUAAAUAUUCAUAUUAUUAAUUUGAACAUCACAUCAAGAAUUCACUAAUAAUAUAAUAAUCCUUGAGCCCAUUGCAUCAAAUGAAAGAAAAAUCAUUGCAAAUUAUUCUAAAGUUCCAGAAAUACAAGAAGAAUUAUUCCAAAAGGAAAAGAAGAUAAAAGAAAGUAGAAAAUUGAAAGAGAAAAUAAGCUAGAAUGAUGUCCAAAUUGCUAACUCUCUCCCUCUAUAGUUCUCUUCUUCGUCUCUUCAAGCUUGGACCACUCUAGCCACCACCUGUGCUAUGUACUUUACAGCUUGGAUAAAUCCCAAAGAGAAAGAUGACUUACCAUGUAAUAAAAUGAAGAUCGGCCGUCGGCAAGCAAAAAUGAACAUCGACCUUUGGCGUUGAAGAUUGACGGCAACUGAGGAGGACUAGGGCGGGAGAGCAAGGAAUGAAAGAAAAAAAAUUAGGGCUGCAGCUUCUUAACUCUUCUGUCUUCAUGCUUCAGUUUUUAAAUUGAGUAUUUUUUUUAUUUUUUACUAAUCGGGUCGAGGUGGGUUCGAUCGGGUUUUCUGGGUUAACCCAUCACCUGACCCGACUACUUUACUCACAAACCGAACCAGCUUAAAAAAUAAUAAUAAUAAAUUAAAAAAAAGACCCAACCGGGUCGGGUUUGGCGGGUUCGGUCGGGUUUUUCCCACCCCUACUUGUUAUAUCUAUAACUCAUGAACAUCCUGUUGUUUGUAUGGCUUGUAUGAUUCAUAUAUACUCUUUCAUUUCAUCAUGCUAACCUUACUGAAAGCUUUUGUCAAUUUCAAGUGCUAAUCUGAAGUUUCUGAUAGGCAUGUGCUAAAAGGAUCCAAGGUGAUGAAAGUGGGCACAAGCACUGUACUGGACAAUACUUUGAUUAUUGGCAGUGCGUUGACAAAUGUGUAAGGCCAUUUUCUUGUUUACAUUUAUUCCCUCGCCCCUCUUUCGGGUAUAUUUCAGUUUUAUGUUAAUAUUUUGUUCUGGUAGCUGCUGACAUCUAUCCUUUUAAUACGCAGGUUGCAACUAAGCUAUUUACAUAUCUUAAAUGACCGGGCAAGACCUCAAUGUUGUUCUGGCACCAGAAUACGUUUAGUCCAAAACCAAUUGGUUCAGUAUUAUUCUGUUUUUGUGAAAACUAUUUAUGCUUGUAUGCCUACUUAGAUAAAUGGCAUGUUGAACUAUGAAUUAUGAGCACUUCAUUGUGAUCAAUAAAAAAAAAAUUGUGGGAUUGAAUUUCAUUUGCUUUGGCAAUUAAUGAUGUAGCUUUUGUUCAACAAUUUCCUAUUUAGUGAUUUGGAAAAUUUUCGUUGUUAGCCUUAUCUGCAUACUAUUGCGAGAAUUUCCAUUGUUGCUCAUUUAUACGCUUUUAUCAUAGUAGUUGAGU
rnacentral:lncRNA from 1 species